GUCUACAGCCAUACCACCCCAAACACGCCGUCUCGUCUGAUCUUGGCCCAGCUAAGCAGGGUCGGGCCUGGUUAGUAUUUGGAUGGGAGGAAUAGUAUUUUCUGUCUUUCAAAUGGAGAAAUUUAAGUCUCCAGGACU
rnacentral:rRNA from 1 species